GCCGAGGCUGCCCGGCCUCUAGAUCCGUCUCUGAGUAUCACACGCACACUUUUCCAGAAGUCGGCUUCUCUCUGCAGUAGUUAGCUGUACCUAAUGCCUACUCAGCAUUUAUGCAAUGGUGUAGAGUCGAGACUUCCAACUUUUUAUAAAGAAAAGAGUUACCAUUGGGACCAACCCUUACUCCCUAAGCAUCUGCUACCAUCCGAAGCCCCCAAAGCUCACGCGCCUUCCCUCUUAAAAAUUAGUCUCUGGUUUCUCUACCGUCUCCUUGCCGGCGCCGCGCCGCCUCGCCUCGCC
rnacentral:lncRNA from 1 species